UACAUUUUGCACAACACACUUAGUCGCCUA
rnacentral:piRNA from 1 species